rnacentral:tRNA from 1 species
GUUGUUCAAGGUGUGGUAUGGGUCGGGCGUUCUCGCAGCUCAUGACAUAUCUGCAUGCCGUGUGACCAUCGCUCUCCUAAAGCGGGUGCCGCAGGUUCGAAUCCUGCCGGGG